rnacentral:rRNA from 1 species
CCUACGGGAGGCAGCAGUGAGGAAUAUUGGUCAAUGGGAGAGAUCCUGAACCAGCCAAGCCGCGUGAGGGAAGACGGCCCUAUGGGUUGUAAACCUCUUUUGUCGGAGAACAAAACCCGGGACGUGUCCCGUACUGCGUGUACCCGAUGAAAAAGCAUCGGCUAACUCCGUGCCAGCAGCCGCGGUAAUACGGAGGAUGCGAGCGUUAUCCGGCUUUAUUGGGUUUAAAGGGUGCGUGGGCGGUCCGUUAAGUCUGCGGUAAAAGUGCGGGGCUCAACCCUGUCGAGCCGUUGAAACUGGCAGGCUUGAGUGGGCGAGAAGUACGCGGAAUGCGCGGUGUAGCGGUGAAAUGCAUAGAUAUCGCGAAGAACUCCGAUUGCGAAGGCAGCGUACCGGCGCCAGACUGACGCUGAGGCACGAAAGCGUGGGGAUCGAACAGGAUUAGAUACCCGAGUAGUC